UCCCUGGUGGUCCAGUGAUUAAGGUUCUGUACUUCUACUGUAAGGCACAGGUUCAAUUCCUGGCCAGGGAA
rnacentral:tRNA from 1 species